GACAAAUAGAGACAGAGAAGAGAGAAGAAGGGAGGACAAGGGGAGAGAUAGAGAGGGAGGAACAGAAAAUGAGAAGGAAAUAGAGUGAAAGACAAAGAGAGAGGAAGAGAAAGAAGAAAGAGGAAGAGAUAAGAAAAGAGGGAGAAGAAACCGGGAGAGGGGGGGAAAGAAAGAGAAGAACAAAGGGAGAGAGAGAUAGGGACACAAAGAAGGAGAAAGAGGAGGAAGAAAAAAUUGGAAGGUGGAAGGAUAUCAGCAGCAAGUUUAUCCAUAAAAGGAGAAUAUAAAGUUCUUGGAGUUAGGUACCAUUAUUACCUCCACUUUACAGAUGAAGAAACUGAAGCAGAUAGAGGUUGUGACAUUCCCAGAGACAAAUAGCACAUCACAAGCUCAAGAAGAUGGAUCCAACAAUUAGAAAGCUCUCUUAGGAAGAAUAAAGACACUAAGAAAACACUGGCUCAAUAAACAAUCUGCUGCAAGUCUGGGUGACUCAGCCUUUUCUAGGGGAAUGACCAGCAGGAUGAAUACAGAGAGGCCUGGCGAGACUUACAUGAACUGAUGCUAAGUGAAAUGAGCAGAAUCAGGAGAUCAUUAUACACUUCGACAACGAUAUUGUAUGAGGACAUAUUUUGAUGGAAGUGGAUUUCUUUGACAAAGAGACCUAACUGAGUUUCAAUUGAUAAAUGACGGACAAAAGCAGCUACACCCAAAGAAAGAACACUGGGAAACGAAUGUGAACUAUCUGCAUUUUUGUUUUUCUUCCCGGGUUAUUUAUACCUUCUGAAUCCAAUUCUCCCUAUGCAACAAGAGAACUGUUUGGUUCUGCAAACAUAUAUUGUAUCUAGGAUAUACUGCAACAUAUCCAACAUA